UACGGGGGGGGGCAAGCGUUGUUCGGAAUUACUGGGCGUAAAGGGCUCGUAGGCGGCCAACUAAGUCGGAUGUGAAAUCCCCAGGCUUAACCUGGGAACUGCAUCCGAUACUGGAUGGCUUGAAUCCGGGAGAGGGAUGCAGAAUUCCAGGUGUAGCGGUGAAAUGCGUAGAUAUCGAGAGGAACACCUGCGGCGAAGGCGGGUUGCUGGGCCGACACUGACGCUGAUGCGCGAAAGCCAGGGGAGCGAACGGG
rnacentral:rRNA from 1 species